UACGGAGGGAGCUAGCGUUGUUCGGAAUUACUGGGCGUAAAGCGCACGUAGGCGGCUUUGUAAGUUAGAGGUGAAAGCCUGGGGCUCAACUCCAGAACUGCCUUUAAAACUGCAUCGCUUGAAUCCAGGAGAGGUGAGUGGAAUUCCGAGUGUAGAGGUGAAAUUCGUAGAUAUUCGGAAGAACACCAGUGGCGAAGGCGGCUCACUGGACUGGUAUUGACGCUGAGGCGCGAAAGCGUGGGGAGCAAACAGG
rnacentral:rRNA from 1 species